rnacentral:rRNA from 1 species
AAAAACAUGUCCUUUUGUUUAUAAAUAUAAGGUCUAACCUGCCCAAUGAUUUGAUUUAAUGGCCGCGGUAUAUUAACUGUGCUAAGGUAGCAUAAUCAUUUGUCUUUUAAUUGAAGGCUAGAAUGAAUGGUUGGACGAGAUACAUGCUUUCUUUAAUUUAAUUAAUGAACUUAAUUUUUUAGUUAAAAAGCUAAAAUUUAUUUAAGGGACGAGAAGACCCUAUAGAUCUUUAUAUAUUUAAUUAUUAUAUAUUUUAGUAUAUUAAUUAUUUUAAUAUUUAUUUAUAUUUGGCUGGGGUGGUUGUAGAAUUCUUUUAACUUCUAUUUUUAUUAAACAUUAAUUUAUGUUUUAUUGAUCCAAUUUUAUUGAUUAAAAGAUUAAGUUACCUUAGGGAUAACAGCGUAAUUUUUUUGGAGAGUUCAUAUCGAUAAAAGAGUUUGCGACCUCGAUGUUGGAUUAAAAUAAGUUUUAGGUGCAGGAGCUAAAAACUAGGUCUGUUCGACCUUUAAUUUUUUACAUGAUCUGAGUC